rnacentral:rRNA from 1 species
CGGCGUGCCUAAUACAUGCUACUCGAACGAAUCUCUUUUAGAGAUGGGUGGCGAACGGGUGAGUAAUACAUAGGUAACCUGCCCCUGUGCGGGGGAUAACAGGAGGAAACUCCUGCUAAUACCGCAUAGCCAUGAGCACCGCAUGGAGCUCAUGCCAAAUAUCCUUUAUGGGAUAGCGCAGGGAUGGACCUAUGGCGCAUUAGCUGGUUGGCGGGGCAACGGCCCACCAAGGCAACGAUGCGUAGCCGGCCUGAGAGGGCGGACGGCCACAUUGGGACUGAGACACGGCCCAGACUCCUACGGGAGGCAGCAGUAGGGAAUUUUCGGCAAUGGGGGAAACCCUGACCGAGCAACGCCGCGUGAGCGAAGAAGGCCUUCGGGUCGUAAAGCUCCGUUGUAAAGGAAGAACGGCGCACACAGGAAAUGGUAUGCGAGUGACGGUACUUUACCAGAAAGCCACGGCUAACUACGUGCCAGCAGCCGCGGUAAUACGUAGGUGGCGAGCGUUAUCCGGAAUCAUUGGGCGUAAAGAGGGAGCAGGCGGCCGCAAGGGUCUGUGGUGAAAGACCGAAGCUAAACUUCGGUAAGCCAUGGAAACCGGGCGGCUAGAGUGCGGAAGAAGAUCGUGGAAUUCCAUGUGUAGCGGUGAAAUGCGUAGAUAUAUGGAGGAACACCAGUGGCGAAGGCGACGGUCUGGGCCGCAACUGACGCUCAUUCCCGAAAGCGUGGGGAGCAAAUAGGAUUAGAUACCUUAGUAGUCCACGCCGUAAACGAUGGUCAUUAAGUGUCGGGGGUCAAA